UGGGGAAUAUUGCACAAUGGGGGAAACCCUGAUGCAGCGACGCCGCGUGGAGGAAGAAGGUCUUCGGAUUGUAAACUCCUGUUGUUGAGGAAGAUAAUGACGGUACUCAACAAGGAAGUGACGGCUAACUACGUGCCAGCAGCCGCGGUAAAACGUAGGUCACAAGCGUUGUCCGGAAUUACUGGGUGUAAAGGGAGCGCAGGCGGGAAGACAAGUUGGAAGUGAAAUCUAUGGGCUCAACCCAUAAACUGCUUUCAAAACUGUUUUUCUUGAGUAGUGCAGAGGUAGGCGGAAUUCCCGGUGUAGCGGUGGAAUGCGUAGAUAUCGGGAGGAACACCAGUGGCGAAGGCGGCCUACUGGGCACCAACUGACGCUGAGGCUCGAAGGUGUGGGUAGCAAACAGGAUUAGAUACCCUGGUAGUCCACACCGUAAACGAUGAUUACUAGGUGUUGGAGGAUUGACCCCUUCAGUGCCGCAGUUAACACAAUAAGUAAUCCACCUGGGGAGUACGACCGCAAGGUUGAAACUCAAAGGAAUUGACGGGGGCCCGCACAAGCAGUGGAGUAUGUGGUUUAAUUCGACGCAACGCGAAGAACCUUACCAAGUCUUGACAUCCUGCGACGAUGCUGGAAACAGUAUUUUCUUUCGGGACGCAGAGACAGGUGGUGCAUGGUUGUCGUCAGCUCGUGUCGUGAGAUGUUGGGUUAAGUCCCGCAACGAGCGCAACCCUUACUGUCAGUUACUACGCAAGAGGACUCUGGCAGGACUGCCGUUGACAAAACGGAGGAAGGUGGGGAUGACGUCAAAUCAUCAUGCCCUUUAUGACUUGGGCUACACACGUACUACAAUGGCGUUAAACAAAGAGAAGCAAGACCGCGAGGUGGAGCAAAACUCAGAAACAACGUCCCAGUUCGGACUGCAGGCUGCAACUCGCCUGCACGAAGUCGGAAUUGCUAGUAAUCGUGGAUCAGCAUGCCACGGUGAAUACGUUCCC
rnacentral:rRNA from 1 species